rnacentral:rRNA from 1 species
AGCGAACGCUGGCGGCAGGCCUAACACAUGCAAGUCGAACGAACCUUUCGGGGUUAGUGGCGGACGGGUGAGUAACACGUGGGAACGUGCCUUUAGGUUCGGAAUAACUCAGGGAAACUUGUGCUAAUACCGAAUGUGCCCUUCGGGGGAAAGAUCUAUCGCCUUUAGAGCGGCCGGCGUCUGAUUAGCUAGUUGGUUGAGGUAAUGGCUCACCAAGGCGACGAUCAGUAGCUGGUCUGAGAGGAUGAUCAGCCACAUUGGGACUGAGACACGGCCCAAAAUCCUACGGGAGGCAGCAGUGGGGAAUCUUGCGCAAUGGGCGAAAGCCUGACGCAGCCAUGCCGCGUGAAUGAUGAAGGUCUUAGGAUUGUAAAAUUCUUUCACCGGGGACGAUAAUGACGGUACCCGGAGAAGAAGCCCCGGCUAACUUCGUG